UACGAAGGGGGCUAGCGUUGUUCGGAAUUACUGGGCGUAAAGCGCGCGUAGGCGGCUUGUCAAGCCAGAGGUGAAAUCCCAAAGCUCAACUUUGGAACUGCCUUUGGAACUGUCAAGCUAGAGUAUCGGAGGGGACAGUGGAAUUCCUAGUGUAGAGGUGAAAUUCGUAGAUAUUAGGAGGAACACCAGUGGCGAAGGCGACUGUCUGGACGAUUACUGACGCUGAGGCGCGAAAGCGUGGGGAGCAAACAGG
rnacentral:rRNA from 1 species